rnacentral:rRNA from 1 species
GACGAACGCUGGCGGCGGGCUUAACACAUGCAAGUCGAACGGAAAGGCCCUGCUUUUGUGUGGUUCUCGAGUGGCGAACGGGUGAGUAACCCGUGAGUAACCUGCCCUUGACUUUGUGAUAACUUCAGGAAACUGGGGCUACUACCGGCUAGGAGCUCCUGCUGCUUGGUGGGGGUUGGAACGUUUCGGCGGAUGUGGAUGUACGGGCGGCUAAUCAGCUUGUUGGUGGGGUAGUUGCUUACCAAGUCUUCGACGGGUAGCCGGCCUGAGAGGGGAAACGGCGACAAGAGGACUGAGGGACGCCGCAGAGUGGUACGGGAGGCAGCAGUGGGGAGCAUUGUCCAAUGGGCGGAAGUCUGAUGAAACAGCGUCGCGUGCGGAAUGCCCGCCUUCGUGUGGUAAACCGCUUUCAGCUGUGACCAAGCGUGAGUGACGGUAAUGGGUGAAGAAGCACCGGCUAACUACGUG